GACGGAGGAUGCAAGCGUUAUCCGGAAUGAUUGGGCGUAAAGCGUCCGCAGGUGGCAGUUCAAGUCUGCUGUCAAAGACCGGGGCUUAACUUCGGAAAGGCAGUGGAAACUGAACAGCUAGAGUAUGGUAGGGGCAGAGGGAAUUCCCGGUGUAGCGGUGAAAUGCGUAGAGAUCGGGAAGAACACCGGUGGCGAAAGCGCUCUGCUGGACCACAACUGACACUCACAGGACGAAAGCUAGGGGAGCGAAUGGG
rnacentral:rRNA from 1 species